CCUACGGGCGGCUGCAGUGGGGAAUAUUGGACAAUGGGCGAAAGCCUGAUCCAGCCAUGCCGCGUGUGUGAAGAAGGCCUUCGGGUUGUAAAGCACUUUCAGUGGGGAAGAAAGCCUUGGGGCUAAUACCCUCGAGGAAGGACAUCACCCACAGAAUAAGCACCGGCUAACUCCGUGCCAGCAGCCGCGGUAAUACGGAGGGUGCGAGCGUUAAUCGGAAUUACUGGGCGUAAAGCGCGCGUAGGCGGUCUGAUAAGCCGGUUGUGAAAGCCCCGGGCUCAACCUGGGAACGGCAUCCGGAACUGUCAGGCUAGAGUGCAGGAGAGGAAGGUAGAAUUCCCGGUGUAGCGGUGAAAUGCGUAGAGAUCGGGAGGAAUACCAGUGGCGAAGGCGGCCUUCUGGACUGACACUGACGCUGAGGUGCGAAAGCGUGGGUAGCAAACAGGAUUAGAUACCCGAGUAGUC
rnacentral:rRNA from 1 species